UACGUAGGGUGCAAGCGUUGUCCGGAAUUAUUGGGCGUAAAGAGCUCGUAGGCGGUUCGUCGCGUCGGCUGUGAAAACCCGGAGCUCAACUCCGGGCCUGCAGUCGAUACGGGCGGACUCGAGUUCGGCAGGGGAGACUGGAAUUCCUGGUGUAGCGGUGAAAUGCGCAGAUAUCAGGAGGAACACCGGUGGCGAAGGCGGGUCUCUGGGACGGUACUGACGCUGAGACGCGAAAGCGUGGGGAGCGAACAGG
rnacentral:rRNA from 1 species